AAUUACGAACGCUGGCGGCAUGCCUAACACUAUGCAAGUCGAACGCUAUUUAUAGAGUGGCUGCACGGGUGAGUAACGCGUGGGAACCUGUUUCUGCGGGAUAACGGUUGGAAACGACCGCUAAUACCGCAUACGCCCUACGGGGUGAAAGGUCCGCCGGAGAAAGAGGGGCCCGCGAUCUGAUUAGCUAGUUGGUGGGGUAACGGCCUACCAAGGACGACGAUCAGUAGCUGGUCUGAGAGGAUGAUCAGCCACACUGGGACUGAGACACGGCCCAGACUCCUACGGGAGGCAGCAGUGGGGAAUAUUGGACAAUGGGGGCAACCCUGAUCCAGCAAUGCCGCGUGUGUGAUGAAGGCCUUAGGGUUGUAAAGCACUAUUCACUGGUGAAGAUGAUGACGGUAACCACGACAAGAAGGCCCGG
rnacentral:rRNA from 1 species